rnacentral:lncRNA from 1 species
CCACUUAGAGAGAGAAUAAGAGAGGAAAGAAUGGGGGAAGAGAGAGAAAGAAAAUGAGAAAAUGAGAAAAAAAAAUAUAUAUAUAGGUCUAGGGUUGUAAUAUUUAUAAACAGUAAGGGGCAUUUUAGUCAUAUCAUAAUUCAAAGCUAUUCCCAUGGUCACGGAAUAGCAAAAACCAUGGGGAGCCUCGGGUUUAACUAAGCCUGAGUUUUACCCAUUUUGAGAGAAUAGCUAUUACUAAGUAAUAGCUAUUCUUUGUGAUAUUACCAUACCAAACGGAGGUAAGCUAUUCCCUUGGGAAUAGACAGGGAAUAGC